rnacentral:antisense_RNA from 1 species
UGUGAACUGACAAGCCCGUGGAUGUCUACAAAGAGUGAACUGAUCACUGUGGGCUGGCCUUUGAGGCAUCAGCAAGCUCCAGUGCCUGGGACGAUGCCUGACACUUAGCAGACAGUCAGUGAAUAUGUGUUAUAUAAAUGAAUGAAUACUUGGAGCGUGAGAAUCAGAGCGGCAAAAAUAUUUGUCCAUAAUAUGCCUAAAGAUAAAAAUGGAAGCCUCCGAACUAGAUAAAUGCAUUGUAAUUGAAUGCUGAAUUCACCAGAUAACAUCUGAGAUUUAUUAAGCAUCAAGUCAUGUCUUAAAAAUUUUAUAUACAUUUUAGGAUUUAACUCUUAUAAAAAUCCUGUGGUUACAAGCGGUAAUACAAAGAGACAGGAUUAUAUGGUCUCCAAGGUCCCAUCCAGCCCAUUUAACACAGCGUUGUGGCUCUGGAGACCUGGAAGCACCACUAACUGUUCUCCUGAUUUUCUGAUGCUCAGCCACAUCAACCUGUCAUGCUAGUUGUGAGGAGAAGUCAAGGACAGUGACACAGCCAGCCAGUCUGAGGGGUUUUCCAUCAUCCUGAAGGAGUUGCCCUAUCCUGCUUUUCACUGGAGGGGGCAUGGAUGGGGACCCUGGAUGACAAAGCAGUCACCUACUUGAACACUACUAAUUAUGAUGUCAGAAAGAGGAAAGUUUGCAGAGUUUUGUAUUGGCAAUCAAACAUUCAGCCACAGGUCACAGUCUAGAACCAGACACAUCAGUGUCCUGAACUGCAAAGUAGCCAGGAAGCAGCAUCCCAUAACACAGUCCUAUGUCCACUGCUUUGGAG